rnacentral:rRNA from 1 species
UGGGGAAUCUUCCGCAAUGGGCGCAAGCCUGACGGAGCAACGCCGCGUGAGUGAAGAAGGUCUUCGGAUUGUAAAACUCUGUCUUCAGGGAAGAAAAAAAUGACGGUACCUGAGGAGGAAGCCCCGGCUAACUACGUGCCAGCAGCCGCGGUAAUACGUAGGGGGCAAGCGUUGUCCGGAAUUAUUGGGCGUAAAGAGCGUGUAGGCGGAUAUUUAAGUCAGAUGUGAAAACUGGCGGCUCAACCGUGAGACUGCAUCUGAUACUGGAUAUCUUGAGGGUAAGAGAGGGCAGUGGAAUUCCUAGUGUAGCGGUGAAAUGCGUAGAUAUUAGGAGGAACACCAGUGGCGAAGGCGACUGCCUGGCUUACAACUGACGCUGAGACGCGAAAGCGUGGGGAGCAAACAG